GUGGCGUAAGGGUGCGUAACACGUAUGCAAUCUGCCCGCAACAGGAGGAUAGCUCCCCGAUAAGGGGAAUUAAUACUCCAUAACACCAUUUGAGGGCAUCUGAAGAUGGUUAAACUACAACGGGUUGCGGAUGAGCAUGCGGUUGAU
rnacentral:rRNA from 1 species